UUAAGUUCAGCGGGUAUUCCUACCUGAUCCGAGGUCAACAUUUCAGAAGUUGGGUGUUUUACGGACGUGGACGCGCCGCGCUCCCGGUGCGAGUUGUGCAAACUACUGCGCAGGAGAGGCUGCGGCGAGACCGCCACUGUAUUUCAGGGCCGGCACCCGGUGAGGGGUCCCGAUCCCCAACGCCGAUCCCCCGGAGGGGU
rnacentral:misc_RNA from 1 species